rnacentral:rRNA from 1 species
GGGGGCAACCCUGACCGAGCAACGCCGCGUGAGUGAAGAAGGUUUUCGGAUCGUAAAGCUCUGUUGUAAGUCAAGAACGGGUGUGAGAGUGGAAAGUUCACACUGUGACGGUAGCUUACCAGAAAGGGACGGCUAACUACGUGCCAGCAGCCGCG